GAUGAACGCUGGCGGCGUGCCUAAUACAUGCAAGUCGAGCGAACGGACGAGAAGCUUGCUUCUCUGAUGUUAGCGGCGGACGGGUGAGUAACACGUGGAUAACCUACCUAUAAGACUGGGAUAACUUCGGGAAACCGGAGCUAAUACCGGAUAAUAUUUUGAACCGCAUGGUUCAAAAGUGAAAGACGGUCUUGCUGUCACUUAUAGAUGGAUCCGCGCUGCAUUAGCUAGUUGGUAAGGUAAAGGCUUACCAAGGCAACGAUGCAUAGCCGACCUGAGAGGGUGAUCGGCCACACGGGAACUGAGACACGGUCCAUACUCCUACGGGAGGCAGCAGUAGGGAAUCUUCCGCAAUGGGCGAAAGCCUGACGGAGCAACGCCGCGUGAGUGAUGAAGGUCUUCGGAUCGUAAAACUCUGUUAUUAGGGAGGAACAUAUGUGUAAGUAACUGUGCACAUCUUGACGGUACCUAAUCAGAAAGCCACGGCUAACUACGUG
rnacentral:rRNA from 1 species